rnacentral:rRNA from 14 species
CCUGCCAGUAGUCAUAUGCUUGUCUCAAAGAUUAAGCCAUGCAUGUCUAAGUAUAAGCAAUUAUACCGUGAAACUGCGAAUGGCUCAUUAAAUCAGUUAUCGUUUAUUUGAUAGUACCUUACUACUUGGAUAACCGUGGUAAUUCUAGAGCUAAUACAUGCUGAAAACCCCGACUUACGAAGGGGUGUAUUUAUUAGAUAAAAAACCAACGCCCUUCGGGGCUUCUUGGUGAUUCAUGAUAACUUUACGGAUCGCAUGGCCUUGCGCCGGCGACGGUUCAUUCAAAUUUCUGCCUUAUCAACUUU